rnacentral:lncRNA from 1 species
AUGUCUAAGGAUAUCCAGGACGCGCCCAAAAGAGCAGGCAGAAAAAACUGCGAGUGUGCCUGUUUUCCCGGGAGGGGGACACGCUGUAACAACUUCAGCGUCGUGUACUCCAAUAGAACUACGUCACUUCUCCUUUCCGGCGCUGUGAACACCACCUCUGAGCCUCUCGCUCUAAUUUAUGGUCCCCCAUCUUCCCGCUGUGGUGUCACGCAGGGAAAUCGCGAAGGCGCCUUCCCACAGACGCCAACCGCGAGACUUUGGCGACCGAAAGCCGGAGCCUGCUUCUCACGGUUUCUCACACACGCUCGCGGGUGUCUGAGGGCCGCGCCGAGUUCCGGCCGGACGAGCUCGCCCAGUUCGGAAUUCUUCCCUUAUUUAGACCUCGCCGCCACCCCGGCCCCAGGCACAACCGGACGGUCACGCAAAGGAAGUGGCUGCCUGCGCCUCCUGACCCGGAAUCGGAUCCGGGCCCCGCCCCCCGCGCGCCGCGCUGCCUUCUGCAACAGGCGUGGGUCACGCUCUCGCUCGCUCUCUUUCUGCCGCCAUCUUGGUUCCGCGUUCCCCGCACAGAGCCCUCCGCGGAGUUCUAGAGGAUACUUGACCCUGGGUUAAAGAGGGGACUCCUGCCUGUCCAUUGAGGCCUCCUUUUUAUUCCCUUCCUUCAGAAAUGCCCGGCGAAGCCACAGAAACCGUCCCUGCCACAGAGCAGGAGUUGCCCCAGCCCCAGGCCGAGACAGGUAGGUGCCCUUCGCCCGCCUGCGCAUCAUUAACACGGACCCUGAGGCCUUUGCUGGGGGAGGGGGAGUGAGGAAGGGGAUGUGGGCUGCUGCCACCUUUCAGAGUUAGCUGUCAUUGAAGUUGGGGUUGCAGCUUUACCGGGUAACAGCCAUCCUGGGAGGAUUUCUUCAGGGGGUGGGCUAAAAGAUAGUACCCUUAGGAUGUGUGGACAUUAGGAGCCCCCUAGCCUAUUUUGUGAUUUAGCCAACUGCCUCAGAAGAGGCUGUGCUGGGCUCAGGGAUUCCUGCCUAUGAGGACUGGGUCACACAGGCAGGCCAGGGAGACCUGAGCUUUUGAGAAGUUCAGCCAGCAAGUUGGAUCAAGGUUUUAGAUAGCAGGGCUUGGCACAGUGCCUUCAUCACAUGUCUGGAUGACACGGGUGCUGGUGGUAACCGUGUCCUGCUGGGCCCCAGAGCUCUCCGAAGUCGGUUCGCUUGCCUUAUGGGUGGGUGCUGAGAUAUUUCUGGUGUGCUGGAAUAAUGCCUGUACUAUCAUCUGGCACUCGGGAUUGAUUGAAACAAAGCCUGCCUUUGCCUCGUCUUAGGUGUUGGAAAUAGUGGAUGGAGAAUAUGGUGUGAAGGCAGGUUUUGAAUUCUAUUUAGAACAUGUCUCUGUAGAAGACUUGAGGUGGUAGUCUUGCUAAGUCGUGCAGUAUUAAAUGAAAGGCAUCUUCAGGCUGUGACCUCCGCUCCCCUGUGUUUAUGGUAAAUUUAAUAUUUCUUCAAGUUCCACCUGUCGCUUAAGGGCAUCUUUUGGAGUUAAAAUAGAGUUGUUUAUGGCUGAAAGCAUUGAGGUUCUCCCUCUCCACCUGUCUGAUUUUAGCAGCUGAAGGGAUUACUACAGCUGCUAAGAGAGGAGGGGGCCGGGAGCUGGGGUGUGAGCAGUGUGAAAUACUGACCCACACAGAUCUUAAGGAAGAGGGAAAUAAAGGACUAGUGUAGAUCCUGUAGUUUUAAUGC